UCGGACGUGGUGUAGCGCAGCACGGCCUCUCUCACUUAUGAGACCACUCAUGGCGAGGAGGUAAAUCCGGGUUCGACUCCCGGCGUCCGAA